UGAGGAAUAUUGCCCAAUGGACGCAAGUCUGAGGCAGCAACGCCGCGUGCGCGAUGAAGGCCUUCGGGUUGUAAAGCGCUUUUCUGAGGGACGAGUGAGGACGGUACCUCAGGAAUAAGUCACGGCUAACUACGUGCCAGCAGCCGCGGUAAUACGUAGGUGGCAAGCGUUACCCGGAAUUACUGGGCGUAAAGCGCGUGCAGGCGGUUCGGUAAGUCAGACGUGAAAGCUCCUGGCUUAACUGGGAGAGGUCGUUUGAAACUACCGGGCUUGAGGUUGGGAGAGGGACGUGGAAUUCCCGGUGUAGUGGUGAAAUGCGUAGAAAUCAGGAGGAAUACCAGUGGCGAAGGCGACUUUCUGGACUGACCCUGACGCUGAGGGGCGAAAGCGUGGGUAGCAAACAG
rnacentral:rRNA from 1 species